UACGUAGGGUGCAAGCGUUGUCCGGAAUUAUUGGGCGUAAAGAGCUCGUAGGCGGCUUGUCACGUCGGGUGUGAAAGCCCGGGGCUUAACCCCGGGUCUGCAUUCGAUACGGGCUGGCUAGAGUGUGGUAGGGGGAGAUCGGAAUUCCUGGUGUAGCGGUGAAAUGCGCAGAUAUCAGGAGGAACACCGGUGGCGAAGGCGGAUCUCUGGGCCAUUACUGACGCUGAGGAGCGAAAGCGUGGGGAGCGAACAGG
rnacentral:rRNA from 1 species